AGCGCGGGAAGCUAACUGAAUCCUUCGGGAGGACGUUAGUGGAACGAGCGGCGGACGGGUGAGUAACACGUGGGCAACCUGCCUGUAAGACUGGGAUAACCCCGGGAAACCGGGACUAAUACCGGAUAACACUUUUUCUCACAUGAGAGAAAGUUGAAAGGUGGCUUCGGCUACCACUUACAGAUGGGCCCGCGGUGCAUUAGCUAGUUGGUGAGGUAACGGCUCACCAAGGCAACGAUGCAUAGCCGACCUGAGAGGGUGAUCGGCCACACUGGGACUGAGACACGGCCCAGACUCCUACGGGAGGCAGCAGUAGGGAAUCUUCCGCAAUGGACGAAAGUCUGACGGAGCAACGCCGCGUGAACGAAGAAGGUUUUCGGAUCGUAAAGUUCUGUUGUUAGGGAAGAACAAGUACCGUUCAAAUAGGGCGGUACCUUGACGGUACCUAUCGAGGAAGCCCCGGCUAACUACGUGCCAGCAGCCGCGGUAAUACGUAGGGGGCAAGCGUUGUCCGGAAUUAUUGGGCGUAAAGCGCGCGUAGGCGGUUUCUUAAGUCUGAUGUGAAAUCUUGCGGCUCAACCGCAAGCGGUCAUUGGAAACUGGGGAACUUGAGUACAGAAGAGGAGAGCGGAAUUCCACGUGUAGCGGUGAAAUGCGUAGAUAUGUGGAGGAACACCAGUGGCGAAGGCGGCUCUCUGG
rnacentral:rRNA from 1 species